GGAAUUUUGGACAAUGGGCGCAAGCCUGAUCCAGCAAUGCCGCGUGAGUGAAGAAGGCCUUCGGGUUGUAAAGCUCUUUUGUCAGGGAAGAAACGGUGAUCUCUAAUAUAGAUUGCUAAUGACGGUACCUGAAGAAUAAGCACCGGCUAACUACGUGCCAGCAGCCGCGGUAAUACGUAGGGUGCAAGCGUUAAUCGGAAUUACUGGGCGUAAAGCGUGCGCAGGCGGUUUUGUAAGACUGUCGUGAAAUCCCCGGGCUCAACCUGGGAAUGGCGAUGGUGACUGCAAGGCUAGAGUUUGGCAGAGGGGGGUAGAAUUCCACGUGUAGCAGUGAAAUGCGUAGAUAUGUGGAGGAACACCGAUGGCGAAGGCAGCCCCCUGGGUCAAAACUGACGCUCAUGCACGAAAGCGUGGGGAGCAAACAGGAUUAGAUACCCCGG
rnacentral:rRNA from 1 species